GCAGUGGAGGUUCAGUGGUAGUAUUCUUGCCUUCCAUGCACGAGAUCUGAGUUCGAUUCCUGGCCAAUGUA
rnacentral:tRNA from 1 species